rnacentral:sRNA from 1 species
UAGAGGAAGUAAAAGUCGUAACAAGGUUUCCGUAGGUGAACCUGCGGAAGGAUCAUUACCGAGAGACGGGCCCUAACCGGUCCCAACUCUUUACCCCUGUCUACCGAAAUAUGUUGCUUUGGCGGGCCAACCGGGCUUCCCCGGGGAAGGCUGACCCCUUCUCGUGCCCGCCAAAGGCCUCAAUAAACCCUGUGAUCAGUGUCGUCCGAGUAAAAACAAUCGUUAAAACUUUCAACAACGGAUCUCUUGGUUCCGGCGUCGAUGAAGAACGCAGCGAAAUGCGAAAAGUAAUGUGAAUUGCAGAAUUCCGCGAAUCAUCGAAUCUUUGAACGCACAUUGCGCCCUUUGGUAUUCCGAAGGGCAUGCCUGUUCGAGCGUCAUUGCACCCCUCAAGCACUGCUUGGUAUUGGGCCUCGCCCCCGCGGCGGGCCCGGAUUCCAGUGGCGGUCCAGCGAGACUUCAAGCGUAGCAAGAUUAUCACAUCCCGCUUAGCAAGCCUUCCCGCUGCGUGCCGGCCAGACAACCCUAUACAAUCUCAUG